UGGGGAAUAUUGCACAAUGGGCGGAAGCCUGAUGCAGCAACGCCGCGUGAGGGAUGACGGCCUUCGGGUUGUAAACCUCUUUUAGCAGGGAAGAAGCGAGAGUGACGGUACCUGCAGAAAAAGCGCCGGCUAACUACGUGCCAGCAGCCGCGGUAAUACGUAGGGCGCAAGCGUUAUCCGGAAUUAUUGGGCGUAAAGAGCUCGUAGGCGGUUUGUCGCGUCUGCUGUGAAAUCCCGAGGCUCAACCUCGGGCCUGCAGUGGGUACGGGCAGACUAGAGUGCGGUAGGGGAGAUUGGAAUUCCUGGUGUAGCGGUGGAAUGCGCAGAUAUCAGGAGGAACACCGAUGGCGAAGGCAGAUCUCUGGGCCGUAACUGACGCUGAGGAGCGAAAGGGUGGGGAGCAAAACAGGCUUAGAGUACCCUGGUAGUCCACCCGUAAACGUUGGAACUAGUUGUGGGACCAUUCCACGGUUUCCGUGACGCAGCU
rnacentral:rRNA from 1 species